UACAGAGGGGGCAAGCGUUAUUCGGAAUUAUUGGGCGUAAAGGGCGCGUAGGCGGCCAUUCAAGUGACGGGUGAAAGCCCUCGGCUUAACCGAGGAACUGCCUGUCAGACUGGAUGGCUUGAGACCGGGAGAGGUGAGUGGAAUUCCCAGUGUAGCGGUGAAAUGCGUAGAUAUUGGGAGGAACACCAGUGGCGAAGGCGGCUCACUGGACCGGAACUGACGCUGAGGCGCGAAAGCUAGGGGAGCAAACGGG
rnacentral:rRNA from 1 species